GUUACUGCUAUCGAGGUUCGACUAAGCCAUGCGAGUCGAAUGUAGCAAUACAUGGCGUACUGCUCAGUAACACGUGGACAACCUGCCCUUAGGUUGGGUAUAAACCCGGGAAACCGGGUAUAAUCCCCUAUAAGUCUCGGCUGCUGGAAUGCACCGAGAUUAAAAGCUCCGGCGCCUAAGGAUGGGUCUGCGGCCUAUCAGGUAGUAGUGGGUGUAGCGUACCUACUAGCCUACGACGGGUACGGGUUGUGAGAGCAAGAGCCCGGAGAUGGAUUCUGAGACACGAAUCCAGGCCCUACGGGGUGCAGCAGGCGCGAAAACUUUACAAUGCUGGCAACAGCGAUAAGGGAACCUCGAGUGCCAGGUUACAAAUCUGGCUGUCGAGAUGCCUAAAAAGCAUUUCAUAGCAAGGGCCGGGCAAGACCGGUGCCAGCCGCCGCGGUAACACCGGCGGCUCGAGUGGUAACCGUUAUUAUUGGGUCUAAAGGGUCUGUAGCCGGCCGGAUAAGUCUCUUGAGAAAUCUGGCAGCUUAACUGUCAGGCUUUCAGGAGAUACUGUCUGGCUCGAGGCCGGGAGAGGUGAGAGGUACUUCAGGGGUAGGGGUGAAAUCUUGUAAUCCUUGAAGGACCACCAGUGGCGAAGGCGUCUCACCAGAACGGACCUGACGGCAAGGGACGAAAGCUAGGGGCACGAACCGGAUUAGAUACCCGGGUAGUCCUAGCCGUAAACGAUACUCGCUAGGUGUCGGCCACGGUGCGACCGUUGUCGGUGCCGUAGGGAAGCCGUGAAGCGAGCCACCUGGGAAGUACGGCCGCAAGGCUGAAACUUAAAGGAAUUGGCGGGGG
rnacentral:rRNA from 1 species